CUCCAACUCAAAGAGCGUGAGCUCCUUGAAUUGUAUCACUUUUAACAAUGGGAAAUUAAAAAGACAAAAGCGCUUGACAGAAGGUGGAAAAAUACCCUGAAACUUCUGUGGAGUCCUCCCUGCUUGGGGAGAAGAGCAGCAAGCCGCAAGGCAGAACUUUUGUCUCUGAUUUAUACUUUGGAUUGUUCUGUUUAAGUCACCUCCGCAGUAGGAGCUGAGCCUUUCUGACCAGAUAGAUCUAGUUAGUCUCAACUGGGGAAAUCGAAGUGUCCAUCAAGAUGCACUGAAGAGCGCCUCAAGCUUUCUGAUCUCCGCAGUGUAUGUAAUACCACACAGUCUGCUUAACACCCUCUGUGCCUAGAGAUAUUGCAGAGAAGACAACCGAAGAUGAACAAUUAAUUAAUCAUUCAAAAUAAAAU